rnacentral:tRNA from 1 species
GGCUCCAUAGCUCAGGGGUUAGAACACUGGUCUUGUAAACCAGCGAUUGUAAAUUCAAAUCUUGCUGGGGCCU